GGCUGGUCUGAAGGUAGGGAAUUAUCUGAAUUGAUUGUUCACAGUUAGUUACAGAUUGAAUUCCCUGUUCUACUCUUUCCCCUCUUCUUAAUAGGGCACUUGAUUAGUCUUUA
ensembl:misc_RNA Y_RNA Y RNA